GGGCCUGUAGCUCAGUUGGUUAGAGCGCGCCGCUCAUAACGGCGUGGUCCCUGGUUCGAGUCCAGGCGGGCCCACCA
rnacentral:tRNA from 2 species